CAUCAGAAAACCCCGAAACAGGGGGUAUAAGGCUUUAGAAUUCUUUUGGUUUUUCUGGUGUUUUAUUUUUGUUUUAUAAAAUAGUUAGGAUUUGGGUAUUUUAUUUUCAGUUUGAUUUAGGAAUUCUGAUGUUUUUUUAUAGAUUACCUAAUUGAUUAAUUUUGUUUUUAAUUUCUCGAAUUUAAUUGAUUUAGGGUUUCAGAUGAGUUUUGCUUUUGGAUUGCAGCUUAUCAAGACUAGUUCGGCCUAAUUCAUGUGAUGAAACUCGGAAUAGGCAAGCGAGCAAAUAGAUGGAGAGGAUCAAAAGUCUAUUUCAAUUCUCUUUACUAAGCAUGACCAAAUGGAUUGGUGGAGAUGUCUGAUCAAAGAUGAGCCUGAAAUUGAUAAGUAGAAAGCUGAACUUGAAAGCAGUAAGCUUUCUGACUUGGAUCCUGAAACAAGAUCAAUUGUGGAGAAGAUGAUGGUAAGACUACAACUCUCAACUAUUCCAUCAAAAUGAAGAAAGCUUCGAUUGUUGAAAUCUUUCGAUGGAAGAAAAAGAAGCUCCUGGGGGUUUCAAAUAUUGAAUCAAAGGAAGCUAAUGUUGAACAAUCAGUGGGAUUUUGAGGUUUUAGUUGGAAUUGCUGAUUGUGUUUUAUUGUUUUCGGUGGGUUGCAUUCCUCCCUUCUUGAAGAAGGGUCUCUUUGCUCAGUUGAGUGUUCUUGGUCGACUUGUCGCUCAUGGAUUUCCAGGUUUUUGGGCCAACUUUACGAUUCCAACCCCUUUGAUACAGUCGAGCUAUUGAAAGACAGGGAAAACCUCUUUUUCGACAAUUGAAAGAGGGAAUUUGAAAGACAGGGAAAACCUCUUUUUCAACAAUUAAAAGAGGUUUAGAUUUUUUGGGUGGUAGAUCUAUUGUUAGCGCUUAUUGAUCAUUAUUCAGUGGCUCAUGCUGGCCCUUGAAAGUCGAGGUGCAUGCGGUGGGAUUAAAUCAUGGCUAAGUGUAAUUAUUUCUACGAGGCUUUCAUGUAGCAAUGGGAUACAGCUCAGGGAUAUUGCUAUAGCUAAUUCAAAAGAUUUUCAAGGCAUAAGAAGAGAUUGAGAAGAAGAGGAAGAAGAUGGAGCUUUGUGAGCGAGUUCAAGCUCAACUCGGUUGAGUCAAGGAGGAGACUAUAAAUCAUAAUAGAUACUGUAAGGGAAGCUUUAACUUGCUACAGAAAAUCAAAGAUACCACAAGAAAACAAUUGGAAGUAGGUAAAACAAACCAACAAGAAGAAAAGUUGGCAAGAAAUUUGGGGAUGUAUGCCGAAAAGAGUUGAACAGAGAUUUUGUAAUUUUUGUUGCAUUUGAAAUGGAAAAUCUUACUACUCUUUUGUACUCAUAUUCCUCUAACAUUAAGUAAACUCUUGUAAUUUAACCUCUGUCCAUGGGAUCAAAAGACACACUUUUGUACCUAUAUGAUUCUAAAACCCUUUGUUUUAAUUUGAGCAUCACUACAUAGACAACGACAUUACUAA